rnacentral:rRNA from 1 species
CUACAGGCUUAACACAUGCAAGUCGAGGGGUAGCAGGGUAGCAAUACCGCUGACGACCGGCGCACGGGUGAGUAACACGUAUCCAACCUUCCCAUAACUCGGGGAUAGCCUUUCGAAAGAAAGAUUAAUACCCGAUAGUACUUUAUCAAGGCAUCUUCUUAAAGUUAAAGAUUUAUUGGUUAUGGAUGGGGAUGCGUUCCAUUAGAUAGUUGGUGAGGUAACGGCUCACCAAGUCUUCGAUGGAUAGGGGUUCUGAGAGGAAGGUCCCCCACAUUGGUACUGAGACACGGACCAAACUCCUACGGGAGGCAGCAGUGAGGAAUAUUGGUCAAUGGGCGAGAGCCUGAACCAGCCAAGUAGCGUGAAGGAUGACGG